UGUGUAGGCGGCCGCGCAAGUCUGGUGUGAAAUCUUCACCGCUUAACGGGAAGAGGUCACUGGAAACUGCGUGGCUCGAGUAUGGUAGAGGCAAGCGGAAUUCCUGGUGUAGCGGUGGAAUGUGUAGAUAUCAGGAAGAACACCGGUGGCGAAGGCGGCUUGCUGGGCCAUCACUGACGCUGAGACACGAAAGCGUGGGGAGCAAACGGGAUUAGAUACCCCGGUAGUCCACGCUGUAAACGGUGCGCACUAGGUGUGAGGGGUAUCGACCCCCCUUGUGCCGAAGCAAACGCAUUAAGUGCGCCGCCUGGGGAGUACGGCCGCAAGGUUGAA
rnacentral:rRNA from 1 species